rnacentral:rRNA from 1 species
AAGGAUCAUUAGUGAUUGGUCGAAAGACCUUAUCCCAUCCUCACACCUGUGCACCGUGGGCUUCGGCCCUACAAACGUAGUGUAUCGAACGUAUGCAUCUUAACAAACAAAACUUUCAACAACGGAUCUCUUGGCUCUCGCAUCGAUGAAGAACGCAGCGAAAUGCGAUAAGUAAUGUGAAUUGCAGAAUUCAGUGAAUCAUCGAAUCUUUGAACGCACCUUGCGCCUUUUGGUAUUCCGAAAGGCAUGCCUGUUUGAGUGUCAUGUAGACUCAACUCUCGAGAGGUUUCUUGCGAGUUGGAUUUGGGUGUUGCCAUUUGGCUCGCCUUAAAAGUGUUAGUGGUUUAAGCACUUGAUCGGACGUGAUAAGUUUCGUCCGGCCGUGUGUCAUCGACCGCUCCUAAACCGCCUUGCGGCGCUCUUUGACUCUGACCUCAAAUCAGGUAGGACUACCCGCUGAACUUAA